rnacentral:rRNA from 1 species
GUGGCGGACGGGUGAGUAACGCGUGGGUAACCUGCCUUGUACUGGGGGGCAACAGUUGGAAACGACUGCUAAUACCGCAUAAGCGCACAGCUUCGCAUGAAGCAGUGUGAAAAACUCCGGUGGUACAAGAUGGACCCGCGUCUGAUUAGCUGGUUGGUGAGGUAACGGCCCACCAAGGCAACGAUCAGUAGCCGGCCUGAGAGGGUGAACGGCCACAUUGGGACUGAGACACGGCCCAAACUCCUACGGGAGGCAGCAUG